GGAGAAUGAGGGAAAAAGUUAGAGUAAUCGGACGAUGAGAAUUUUGUAGGUUUCGAGAGAGAGUGUGGAGAAGAGAAGGGUUUGUUGUGGAGUGAGUGAAGAGAGUUUGAAAAGCUUUGUUGAGAGAAGGAAUGGAAGUAACAGACUUCAUAGGCGCAGCUUGGAGAAGAAAGAGAAGCAAUGAAGUGGUUUAUGGGUCUCCACUCUCCACACUGUCCUCAAGGUUUUCAGCCGC
rnacentral:misc_RNA from 1 species